rnacentral:sRNA from 1 species
GAACGUAACAGCACUCCCAAAGAACUGGGUACUCAACACUGAGCAGAUCUGUUCUUUGAGCUAAAAACCAUGUGCUGUACCAAGAGUUUGCUCCUGGCUGCUUUGAUGUCAGUGCUGCUACUCCACCUCUGCAGCAAAUCAGAAGCAAGCAACUUUGACUGCUGUCUUCGAUACACAGACCGUAUCCUUCAUCCUAAAUUUAUUGUGGGCUUCACACGGCAGCUGGCCAAUGAAGGCUGUGACAUCAAUGCUAUCAUGUAAGUUAUUAACUGAUUUUAAUACAAUUGUAUCAGGAAUACCUAGAAACUUCAGUUUUAAAAAUGUUUGCCUUUUUAGAGUUUCAUUCAGAAAUUACUGAUGUUUUGAACAUAGGAUCUUAUUUUAAAGAGAAAGAAAUGAUGUGGCAAAGAUAGCUUUGUCUUAGUAUGUAUCUACUUCAAAGUUCACUUUAAACAGGACUGGAAUAAGGCAAAACCUUUUUUUUUAACUUUUUGGUCAAAAGGAACUAGUAUAGGGCAAAAAUCACUUUCUAAGGCUAUUAAAGUGAUAUGUUAGGAAAAUAUGGAAGAUACAUAUUUCGAAAUGAGCGUCUUCUACCAGAAAAUGUUUGAGACCAAAAGUAAAAUCUCAGACUAAUUAUACUAUCACAUAUAAUUUUCUUGAUUUAUAUA